rnacentral:rRNA from 1 species
CCUGUGAGAAUGCCCUCUAUAUCAAACUGAUCAAAAGGAGCAGGCAUCAAGCCCACUAUUGCAGUAGCUCAUAACGCCUUGCUUAACCACACCCCCACGGGAUACAGCAGUGAUUAAAAUUAAGCCAUAAACGAAAGUUUGACUAAGUUAUACUAAUGAAGGGUUGGUAAAUUUCGUGCCAGCCACCGCGGUCAUACGAUUAACCCUAGUUAAUAAAAUACGGCGUAAAACGUGAUUAAGAUGCCCCUCCCCAAUAAGAUUAAGAUUUAACUAAGCUGUAAAAAGCCCUAGUUGUAAUAAAGACAAACAACGAAAGUGAUCUUAAAAAAUCUGAACUCACGAUAGCUAAGACCCAAACUGGGAUUAGAUACCCCACUAUGCUUAGCCCUAAACACAAAUACUCAAUUAACAAGAUUAUUCGCCAGAGUACUACUAGCCACAGCUUAAAACUCAAAGGACUUGGCGGUGCUUUAUACCCCUCUAGAGGAGCCUGUUCUAUAAUCGAUAAACCCCGCUACACCUUACCACCUUUUGCAAUAUCAGCCUAUAUACCGCCAUCUUCAGCAAACCUUAAUAAAGCCUCACAGUAAGCACAAUAAUAUAAUAUAAAAACGUUAGGUCAAGGUGUAGCCUAUAGGGUGGGAAGUAAUGGGCUACAUUUUCUAUACCCUAGAAUAGCAAUUACGUUAACUUUCAUGAAAUUGAAAGCCUAAGGCGGAUUUAGUAGUAAGCCAAGAAUAGAGUGCCUGGCUGAAUUGGGCAAUAAAGCACGC